rnacentral:lncRNA from 10 species
UUUGCCUAUUCUUAAUAAAAUAUUUUAUGCAACAUAUUAGCUAUAUUUGGAACUCAGUUAUAUUGAAAUUCAAUCCAAAUGGUUACUAAAGAACAAUACUGUGAUCAUUUCCCUCUUUUAUUUAAAUUCCUGAUAAUUCUAUCUUAGUGACCUAAUGGUUGCUACUUUUCUUCUGCCUGGAGUCCUGAAUAGCCUCCUGCUUAGCCUGCCUCACUCUAAUCUUCUGCUUUAAUGUGUUCUCUAAAGUACACACGGAGUGAUUCUUACCUAACCACAGAGAGCACUGUGCCAGUUCUAUUGCCCCUCCCCACACCCAUGGCUGCAUAAACUCUUCCAGUGUCUUCCUCUUGCUUUGAAGUGAAGCCCAAACUCCUUACCAUGGAUUACUAGGCUUUUCUGAUUCAUCUGUCUUUUAACUUCAUCUCUCACAGCUGCACUCCUCACGUUCUGCUCUUCGCUUUCAGUUUCUAUAUGUUCUUCUUGCCUUCAGUGCCUUUAUAGUCUCUUCCCUCUGCCUGUUUCCUCUCCCUUCCCUUCUUCUGUUCUGACUCCUUUGCCUGGUUAACUCCUUUUCUUCUUUCAGUUUUCAUCUUAAUUGCUUUCACCUCCCUAUUAAGCACUCUCAUAGCUCACUGUAAUGUUCAUUUUGAACAUUAUCAUUUUAUUGUAAUUGCUUAACUGUCUUCUCUAAAAAACGUUGAGGGCAUUGAUUGUGUAUGUGUCAUUCACCUCUGUGUCUCAUCAUCUAAUAGGGUCUGGCAUGGUAGUCACUAAGUAGGUAUAUGUUGAAUGUGUCAGUGACAAAUCAAAAUCUGAAAAGAUAAUAGGCCAAAUCUAAUAAGCUAAUGUUUAAUAUAAGUGUAGAAGACCCUUAAUUUUGGCCUGAAAAAAAUCACACUUUUUUGAGAAUGAGAUGAUAGAGGUAUUUUUUGAUCAAAGUAUUAAAGUUAGAGAGGAACCAGGUAGAACUGCUUUCUCUGGUGGGAACUGUUACCCAUAAAUGUGGAGCCUUAAAUUUAUCUGGGUGAGUGUACGUCUAAGAGAAAGCUCAGAACCCUGCCCUAAGAGGAACAGUGGAGGAACUGAGGACUUUUGUCCUAGAGAAAACUUACUGUAGGGUCUAAAAUGCUAACUUCAGCAUUGGAAGACAGAGCAGCAGUGAUAGUGAUUUGGAAGCAAUAUAAGAAAGAGCUUUCUCUUCAUGAGAAAGCUUCAGCCAGACCACUGUUUGCCUGAAGAGCAAGGGUGUCUUCUCUCUGGGAGAUUCUCUGGCAAAGGCACAGCCAUCACAGUUCCCAUCUGUAUAAAGUGAAUGCCUCCUGGCUGACUCACUUCCUAAUACAACUGAAAAGUAGGUUUCAGCAUUAUACAGUGAUUCACUCUUAAUGAACCUGAACAGCUAUUCUUGAGAAAAUAAGAAGGAAUAUUAAAUCCAGAAUUAGCAAAUCCUUCCUAUUUGCUAGGAAACUUUUACUAUUUUGGGAACAAAUGUUAUAAGUCCUUGGAAGAGCUGCAAAGAAACUAUCAUGUGUCAUUGACUAUCCAUUAGAAGUAUUCAGGGAGAAAAACCUGUGGAUAACAACACUUUUCUAUCUCACUGAUUUUCUUUAGUAUCAUUAUGUUGAAUUCUUUUUCAGGCAUUUCAUAAAUUUCCUUCUCCUUUGGAUCUGUUACCAGAGAAUUAUUAUGUUCCUUUGAAGGUGUCAUGUUUUCUU